UGCUCGGUGACGCGGAGUGGUAACGCACCCGGCUGUUACCGGGAGGUCGCAGGUUCGAAUCCUGCCCGAGCAGCCG
rnacentral:tRNA from 1 species